GGGGUGCGGACAGUGUCUGGUGGGUAGUUUGACUGGGGCGGUCUCCUCCCAAAGAGUAACGGAGGAGCACGAAGGUUGGCUAAGCAUGGUCGGACAUCAUGCGGUUAGUGCAAAGGCAUAAGCCAGCUUGACUGCGAGAGUGACGGCUCGAGCAGGUACGAAAGUAGGUCUUAGUGAUCCGGUGGUUCUGAAUGGAAGGGCCAUCGCUCAACGGAUAAAAGGUACUCCGGGGAUAACAGGCUGAUACCGCCCAAGAGUUCAUAUCGACGGCGGUGUUUGGCACCUCGAUGUCGGCUCAUCACAUCCUGGGGCUGAAGUAGGUCCCAAGGGUACGGCUGUUCGCCGUUUAAAGUGGUACGCGAGCUGGGUUUAGAACGUCGUGAGACAGUUCGGUCCCUAUCUGCCGUGGGCGUUGGAAGAUUGAAAGGGGCUGCUCCUAGUACGAGAGGACCGGAGUGGACGCACCACUGGUGUUCGGGUUGUCAUGCCAAUGGCAUUGCCCGGUAGCUAAGUGCGGAAGAGAUAACCGCUGAAAGCAUCUAAGCGGGAAACUUGCCUUGAGAUGAGUCUUCCCUGACUCUUUAAGGGUCCUAAAGGAACGUUUAAGACUAAGACGUUGAUAGGUUGGGUGUGUAAGCGUAGCGAUACGUUGAGCUAACCAAUACUAAUGAACCGUGAGGCUUAACCUG
rnacentral:rRNA from 1 species